UACAGAGGUCUCAACCGUUGUUCGGAUUCAUUGGGCGUAAAGGGUGCGUAGGCGGCGCGGUAAGUCGGGUGUGAAAUCUCGGAGCUUAACUCCGAAACUGCAUUCGAUACUGCCGUGCUUGAGGACUGGAGAGGAGACUGGAAUUUACGGUGUAGCGGUGAAAUGCGUAGAUAUCGUAAGGAAGACCAGUGGCGAAGGCGGCUUUCUGGCUGUUCUUGACGCUGAGGCGCGAAAGCUAGGGGAGCGAACAGG
rnacentral:rRNA from 1 species